UACAGAGGGUGCGAGCGUUGUUCGGAAUUAUUGGGCGUAAAGGGCGCGUAGGCGGUGCGGUAAGUCACCUGUGAAAUCUCCUGGCUCAACUGGGAGCUUGCAGGCGAAACUGCCGUGCUGGAGUGUGGGAGAGGUGAGUGGAAUUCCCGGUGUAGCGGUGAAAUGCGUAGAUAUCGGGAAGAACACCCGUGGCGAAGGCGGCUCUCUGGGCCUUACCUGACGCUGAGGAGCGAAAGCGUGGGGAGCGAACAGG
rnacentral:rRNA from 1 species